UGGUGUCUUUUUUAUAUUUUUACCCAUACAUUUUUGUAAUAGAAUAGCAUGCUACAUUUUUACAUACAUCGUUUUAUUUAUUUUUAGGCUUAUUGAAACAGACUGAAGUUUUGACCAAAGCUCUUGUGCCUGACUAUGAGACAAGUGAAAAAAAGCGAUCAGAAAUAUUUGGAAAAAUAGCUGCCAUGUCUGGAAUUGGUAUGAUUGUAGGGCCAUUUGUUGGAGGACACCUAGCAGAAGGCUUCCCAGAACACGUAUUACCUUUGGUUGCUAUCAUAGUCGGGAGUUGUUUUUCUAUCAGUGCAGGUCUUGUGUAUUUGUUACCAAACACAAAACAUGACGAGAAGCAAGAAAAGAAGAAAAUCUCACCCAAGAAGAAUUGUUCAACGACUGUAAUGCAAAUAGUACUCAAUGCAUGCAAAGAGUCAUUGUUUGAAUUGUUUAAAAUAGAUUGGUCUGAAUAUGGCACAAUAUUCUUCUUUGUAGCUUUGUUUAAUUUUGCUAUUUUAUUACAUUUUUCUAACUAUGUUUAUUAUUUAAAAACAACAUACGGACUUACACCGAAGUCGAUUGGUUACAUUAUAUCUUUAAAAGGCCUAAUACGAUCAAUAUCUAGUUAUUUAAUAGGAUUUAUUAAUAGCUAUUAUACAAAAGAUAAAGAUUACCGCACUAGAAACGCUCAUGCGUUUUUUAUCACAAGUAUGUCAAUAUUAGGAUUAAUUUUUUCCUUUAAUAUUUAUAUUUAUGUUAUUUUCAUGAUACCUCUAGGAAUAAGUGAAGCUGUUGCAAAGUUAGUGUUUUUGGAAAUGAUACUGAAAAGAGGACGUGCUGAACACCGAUCGGCCUUGAUUGGCGCCACAAACAGCGUACGUUCUAUGUCUGGAGUAAUUGCUCCCGUAGUAUCAGGCGUGGUUGGACAAUAUAUAGGUGUACCAUUUGUUAUUUAUGUAGCAUUUUUCAUCAGCUUAUUUGGUUCUUUUGUAAGUUACAGGUAUGCAAAUAUUGUAAAAGAAGACUGAAUAGUUGUUGAAAUGUUGAAAUACAGUUGUACUUAUCAUUA